GGUGACAACGUGGCACAGAACGGCACUGCAUCGGAGUAGGCACACUGCAAAGACGAGACGAGUCCUCCCCAGAGAGGGGAGGCGGUUAAGGAGAGGAGAUUGCGUGGCUCGGAGCAGCCAGACCCGAUGGUGUGCUUCUCACCUCAGCGUGAUAGCCUGACCUUGACUCCUGAGUUCCACGAUCGCUUCACAACUGCAAGUCACCAUCAUACAAAAUUUGAGUUUCCCUAAGUCCGCGCCUUUGAGAGCUUUGGAACGAUAUGCAAGUUCAAGUCACCAUCCUGUUUCUUGCUACCUCCUGUGAGAAGACCAACAUUUGGGUUACACUUGUUUCUACUCUUGUUCUUCUGCUUGUUAUUGUUGCCUCUGCAGCCAUUGAUCACACACGUGUUGUCAUACAAAAACUGCACAUUGGUAAAGACUUUAUAACUUCCAGGACAAUGCAGAUUGAUGUUGAUUAAUAAAGAGCAGGCAACCUUCUGUUUUUGGCUCUAAUAGAAAUGCCUCAUUGUUUAACUAUUAUAAUUGCCAUUGUUUCUGAUAAAUGCCCCUUUUCAAGUUAUGGAAAUGCCCUUCUGUUCUUGAUUGACUUAUAAUUUUAUCAGGGAUGGAUAAAGAAUGUUAUCAAGAUGCCUCUUCUGGCAUCUGACAAGCUGAUAUCCAGGUGAUGAUAUGGUUAUUCUCUCUAAUCCAUUAAUGUAGUUAAUUACAUAAUGUUGAGCUAUUCUUAGAUUCCUGGAAUAAAACUGAUUUGGUAAUGGU
rnacentral:lncRNA from 1 species